GCCGCUGUGUUGACACGCUCUGCACCUUGCUCCUGCCCUCGCCUUUUACUCCUCUUAUCCCCCCGAUACCCCGAUCAUUCCUGACAGCUCCUGAGUGCCUGGAUUUCAUCAUCCAGCCCUGCAGGAUGCUCCCAUUUGUCCUGAGGGAGGCUGCCCCAGACGGAGAGGAGGAGAUGGAGGUGGAUACAAAGAUUGAUAUGGAUGAGGAGAUGGAAAUUGACAGAGAAGACUCUGGAGAGGAAGAGAUGGACGUGGAUGUGGAUGAGGAAGAGGAGAUGGAUGUUGAUAUGGAAGAGUCCAUUGAGGACAUGGACAUUGAUUGAAAAGGAACAGUGGACAUCACAGACAGGGACACCUGCAAUCAAUAAAAGGUUUUUUUCCAUUUUCUCAAGCCACGCGUUGGGCGCCACUAACUGUAUUUGUCCUGGUUUAGGGCAAGUUUGGGAGAUAACCCCCAAAGGGGCUUCUCUACAAAAGCAGAUUCAAUUGCCCCUCCCCCCUCCAACCAGUUCGGGAGAAAAUAUCUCCUUGCAGAAAAAUGGAAAGAAACCUGUUUAUUAAACAAUAGAAACCAAAUAAUAUUAAGCAAUAAAACUUCUCACUGAUCCAAGGAAAGCAAACUCAGAACAGUCCCCUCCCUGGGUUGCAGCUCGGCUCACUCAGUCUCUGAUCAGUCUCUCUGGUGCUGGAAAUGCUGCUGCCCAGGCCCGGCCAGGGGCCACAGGUGGAGCUGCCGGUGCUCUUCUGGGUGUUCAGUCCAGAGCAGGCUUGAACGGGUCCAAGAAAAAAGGAAAAAAUCACAAUCCGGAGAACUUCCUUGCCUCAGCUAGCUAAAACUAACUAAAAGCAAGAAAAAGGGAAAAAAGGAGCUCUGUCUGGCUGUCUGUCCAUCCGCAGACAACACAGUCCAGGAGCAGGAAUGUGGAGGACUGAGAGCAGUCUGAAAACAAACUGCGCGCUUCUUCCCUGCCCUCCUCACUGUUUGGAAGAGAGUCUUAAAGGUGUAAAAAUUAUUCUUCAGUAUAAACAGAACAAGACGAUUGGGGAUUAAAGCGUCAUAUAGUCAACCCAGGACAUUCCACCCCUUAUCCCCAUAUCGUCACCUUACUACUAAAACUAAUAUAUAUUUUAAGUCUACAAACACAUACAUUAUACAUCUAAUAUACAGCUAUACACAGACAUUGGUGGCAACAUUCAGCAAACAGUGAUAUUUAUACAUGGUUCUCACCCAACAAUCAGAUCUCCCUGAGGUACACAUCGUGUUCUUCCAUCUUUUUGCAUUAUCCACCAUGU